UGGGGACGGACCGUAGCGCGGCAACGCCGGGAGCGGGCGGAAAUGGGGCUCCUGUCCCGCGGCACGGCCGCGGCGGGGCUGGGGGCCGUGAGCGCCGUCGUCCGCCCGGGCCCACCCGUCGUUGUCCCCAACCCCAUCCCGACCCUGCCGCCCGAGGGGGCGGCCCCGGGGAGCAGCCGCGUCCCCAGCAUGGUACUCAAGGCCUUCUUCCCCACGUGCUGCGCCUCGGCGGACAGCGGCCUCCUGGUUGGACGGUGGGUCCCUGAGCAGAGCAGUGCCGUGGUCCUGGCCGUGGUGCACUUUCCCUUCAUCCCCAUCCAAGUCAAGGAGCUUCUGGCGCAGGUGCAGCAGGCCGGUCGGGUGGGCCUGGCCGUGCUGGGCACCUGGUGCCACCGCCGGCAGGAGCCGGAGGAGAGCCUGGGCCACUUCCUGGAGGGCCUGGGCGCGAUCUUCUCCCACGAGCCCUGGCUCCAGCUGUGCCGGGAGCCGGGCAGCAAGCUCUGGAGCUGUAAGGCCACCCGCUGGCAGGCACCCCCCGGCCCUGCCGCCCCCGGCGAGGACCAGAUCAUGCUCAUCUUCUACGACCAGCGCAAGGUGCUGCUGUCCCAGCUGCACCCUCCCGCCGUGCUGCUGGACCGCCAGGCCGGAGACGCCCCGGCCAGCGUGGGGGACCUGGCUGCCGUCUUCGACACGGUGGCACGCAGCGAGCCGCUCUUCCAAAGUGACCGGUUCGGUGAGGGCCCUGUGCGGCUGAGCCACUGGCAGUCGGAGGGCGUGGAGGCCAGCAUCCUCGUGGAGCUGGCCAAGUGGGCGGCGGGGCCCGUCUGCCUGCUGCUGGCCUCUUUGCUGUCACUCAUCUCAGCUGCCAGUGCCUGUCGGGUGUUCAGGCUGUGGCCGCUGUCUUUCAUCUGGAGCAAGCUCUCCACGUGCGAGCAGCUCAGACGCCGGCUGGAGCAGCUCACGCUCAUCUUCAGCACCCAGAAAGCCAGGAGCCCUGCCCAGCUGAUGAGGAAGGCCAACACACUUGUCUCUGUGCUGCUGGACGUGACCCUUGGCCUCCUGCUGCUGUCCUGGCUCCACAGGAAGGACCGCAUCGGGCAGCUGGCCGACGCCCUCAUCCCCGUGGCUGACCACGUGGCUGAGGAGCUCCAGGACCUGCUGCAGUGGCUGAUGGGCGCGCCCGCUGGGCUCAAGAUGAACCGGGCCCUUGACCAGGUGCUGGGCCGCUUCUUCCUGUAUCACAUCCACCUGUGGAUCAGCUACAUCCACCUCAUGGCCCCCUUCAUCGAGCACAUCCUGUGGCAUGUGGGCCUCUCGGCCUGCCUGGGCCUGACGGUGGCCCUGUCCAUCCUGUCGGACACCAUCGCGCUCCUCACCUUCCACAUCUACUGCUUCUACGUCUAUGGCGCCAGGCUGUACUGCCUGAAGAUCUGUGGCCUGUCCUCGCUCUGGCGCCUGUUCCGAGGGAAGAAGUGGAACGUGCUGCGCCAGCGGGUGGACUCCUGCUCCUAUGACCUAGACCAGCUGUUCAUCGGGACGCUGCUGUUCACCAUGCUCGUCUUCCUGCUGCCCACCACGGCCCUGUACUACCUGGUGUUCACACUGCUCCGGCUCCUGGUGGUCACCGUGCAGGGUCUGAUCCAUCUGCUUGCAGACCUCAUAAACUCCCUGCCGCUGUACUCGCUCGGCCUCCGGCUCUGCCGGCCCUACAGGCUCGCGGGUAGGUCUGGGCUGGCGGUGCGGGCGCAUACCCGUGGGCUCUGUAGAGGCAGCCACGGAGCUGCUCCCACCUGGAAGCAGAGGUGUGCCUGCUGGGCGCGGGGUGGGCAGAGGACGGAGGCCCCUGGUCCUGGGCGUCAGCUGGAGGGAGAGGCCCUCGGGCUCAGGGCCUUUCCUGUGACGAGAGCGUUUGUGCUGAGGUCUCUCGGCAAUAAGACACGUCCCAUGUGCGUGUGCGGAGCUGUGUGGGCCUGCGGGUCCCUCCGCCUGGAGGUGACCAGCCAGGGCUGCGUGUCAGGGCCUGCCUCGCCCCCGCCGACCCCUGGCUGCCCCGCCGCUGCGCGCGUGCUGCCACCUGCCCCAGACCGGCCAGAUGCCCCGCUGCAGGCCCAGGGAGACCUGACCCAACUGGUCAGAGUUGCGGGUUGGGCCAUCUGGUUCAGGGGUUUUGACCCUGUCAGGAGCUUGGGGCAUUCCUGGCCCAGCCCGUCCAGCAGCUGUUGGGACGGCCCCGAGGUGAGCGGCGUGCCCAGGAGGCCCCGAACUGGGGCCCCUUCGGUGGGACGCCGGUGCGCAUGGCGGCUGCUCCCGACAGUCUGGAGCCGCAAGACCUGAACGCGCGUGUUCCGUGGGCUCUGGGCCUCGAGUUUGCUGCUGCGGGUCCUCAUGCCCUCUUGCCGAGCCUCUUCCUCUGUGGACCCCAGGUGGCCCCGCCAGGGACCCCUCGGCAGUGCUGCCCGGGCUCCCUGGCCCCCAGCUAGCCCCCCACACCUACCUCAGCAGGCUGGCCCAGGCGGCCUCGGCCUGCCGCCCUCCGCUUUCCGCGGGGAAGGUCUUUUAACUUCACAUGAAAGGCCACAGACGCCGCCUCCUCGUUCUGCUGAGUUUGCCUUGGGCCUCCUCAUCAAUUGAUAAUCAGCCCUUGUUUCUCCUUCAAGAACCUUCCACCUUGGGGAUCCCCAGGCUUGGGAGCCUGGACUGCCGGCCAGGGGCGCGGUGGGCACACGGGCGAUGCCAGCCGGGGCCGCUCCACCCUGGGCACCUUGUCUGCACUGGGAAAAGCCACGUCCUACUUGGAGGGCCCGCAGCUGGCUCCCCGCCGCCCGCCAGAGCCUGGGCUUUUGCCUCUCAGUGUAGUUGUGCCGGAGGCUCAGACCAGGCCCCGGCCCCGCAGCCCCCAGCGCCGUGCAGAGCCGGAGGAGCAGCAGCCGAGGCCUCUGGGGCCGCCCUCCCUCUCAGCACCUGCUCUUCUCCUCCUUGCAGCCGGCGUGAAGUUCCGGGUCUUGGAGCGUGAGGCCGGCAGGCCUCUCCGCCUCCUGAUGCAGAUAAACCCCCUGCCCUACAGCCGCGUGCUGAACACCUACCGCCUUCCCAGCUGCGGCUGCCACCCCCAGCACUCCUGGGGCUCCCUGUGCCGCAAGCUGUUCUUCGGGGAGCUCAUCUACCCUUGGAGGCAGAGAGGGGACAAGCAGGACUGAGGGACCUUCGCCACGGCCCGUCCAGCAGUGCCUCCACCGGCCAGGGUGUCAGGGCGGCACAGGUUCCUGCUCUCGGCCCUCCCUGCCACCGGUCGUCUGGGGCCUCUGCAGGCCGGGGGCCCGGGCCCCACCCUUCACAUCUCCCCCGACUCCGAGGUCAUGGGAGUGAUUCAGGACGCGGGCGUGGCCCCCGGGCCAGCGGGCUAUGCUCCAGAAAUAGCGUGUUUGCCUCCACACACACCUGCUCAUCUGCUGUGAUGGCCCGUUCGUCAGCCCUGUGCCCCUGAGCCCCCCAGGCCUGCCUGGAAGCCCGUCCUGCGCCCACCCCCCGGUCUACACCCAGACUCCUGCCUCUGCCCACACGCCCGUUCCCAAUGGGGUGAGCUGGCCGGUCUCCCUGGCUGCUCCCCAGCGUCCGUCCUGCCAUGGGGCGGAGGGACCCUUCUCAGGGCGGGCUCGGCAGUCCUUGAGACUCGGGUGUUUUCUGCAGGACGCUCUUGGAUCCCCAGUGCCUUCCAGCAGCCUCAGUGGAGCAACACCCAGCCAGUCUGGGGGAUCCAGGCCACGGCUGACCCCCAGCCCAAACCAGCAGCCCCAGGGAGCUGGGCAGCCCUGCCCUUGGGCCCUGGUUUGCACUGGGCUUGCUUGAUGCUCCUGCAGACGGUACUUUGUAGGUGGAGCUGCCCGCAGCCUUUGGGUGUCCCUGUGUAAAGCCAGGCCACCUGGGGUACCUGGAACAGGCAGCAGACGGCCCUCCCUGGCCCCCGUUCUUGCUCUGUACCCCUGCAGGGACAGGUCCCUUGGCCCUAUCUUCCAUCUCACUCACUGGCUUCUCGCAGAGGCAGGCAGCUCCUGGGCAGACGCUUCUGCAGCCCCCAGGGAGGGCGUCCUAGCACUUAGGCUGCAGCUGCCUGCUGGCCGCAGGCGGAAGCUGAGUGUGAGUGGGGGCCCUGGAAUCCCUGGGGAGGAAGCCUGAAGGUGCGGUUGUGUCACGUAGGAUGUGUCAUCUUGGUGUUGGAGGCGUCCCUCAGCACUGUCCACUUCUGCCGCCCCCGCUUCUUAGCUGUGGGCCACAGUGGGGGGCAUCCUGGGGGCGUCCCCCAGCCCAGUGGCGGGCGGGCGGGUUUUGGCUCUGUCUUUUUCUGAUGGGACAAUAAAGCCUCCCACUUGUUCAGAGUGC